GGGCACCUACGGGGGCCUAUAACAUCGGGGCAGCGCAAGCCGCCCACACAGAAAACGGAAGACAGUUA
rnacentral:ncRNA from 1 species